GGUGGUGUGGUGUAAUGGUAGCACGUAACGUUGUGGUCAAUUUACUUGCGCACGACAAACCCGUUCCGAUCCCGGUUCGAUUCCGGGCACCGCCA
rnacentral:tRNA from 1 species